rnacentral:rRNA from 1 species
UGCCUACGGGGGGCAGCAGUGGGGGAUAUUGGACAAUGGGGGAAACCCUGAUCCAGCGACGCCGCGUGAGUGAAGAAGUAUUUCGGUAUGUAAAGCUCUGUCAGCAGGGAAGAAAGAAAUGACGGUACCUGACCAAGAAGCCCCGGCUAACUACGUGCCAGCAGCCGCGGUAAUACGUAGGGGGCAAGCGUUAUCCGGAUUUACUGGGUGUAAAGGGGGCGCAGACGGCAGCGCAAGCCAGGAGUGAAAGCCCGGGGCCCAACCCCGGGACUGCUCUUGGAACUGCGCGGCUGGAGUGCAGGAGG